UCUGGCAGGGACUCUGAGGAGAAUCAGGGUCCCUGUAGCAGAAGAGAUCUCUGCUCACACAGUUAAGGAAGAGGUUCACACCAGGAGCUGCCAGGCUCUGGGCUUCCAGGAACUAACCACUUUCUGGAGUUCCACGUGUGGCUGGUUUCUCCGAGCCUUGGACCUAUUUCGUGGACCCUGAUUUUGGAGAGAGAACCGCACCAAAGAACUUCUGGUAUUCUGGCUGCUUUUUGGCACUUCCGCUGUGACCUGUGACGAUUGGGCAGAGUCUCUGGUUUUCUGCUGGAUGUAGUAGCUGCUACUGAUUCGUGUUUGGUGUUUGCUUUUGGACUGGACAGCUGAUAUCCUGACAAUGAAGAUUGUAAUCGCCCCAAAGAACUACUUCUAAACAGGUCCACACCCCUCUUGUCCUAUUGACCAUCUUUCUCCCUAGCUUUGAU